rnacentral:rRNA from 1 species
CGAGGGGAGUGAAAAAGAACCUGAAACCGUGUACGUACAAGCAGUGGGAGCCCCACCACUAAGCCAGUGGUGAACUCCACAUCCGCAUCCUUUGCUGAGGAUACGGUUAACGGAGCGAAAGCGACGUUCAACCGCAAAACAAGCAGAGGGGGCUUAGUGGUGGGGUGACUGCGUACCUUUUGUAUAAUGGGUCAGCGACUUAUAUUCUGUAGCAAGGUUAACCGAAUAGGGGAGCCGGAGGGAAACCGAGUCUUAAUUGGGCGUUAAGUUGCAGGGUAUAGACCCGAAACCCGGUGAUCUAGCCAUGGGCAGGUUGAAGGUUGGGUAACACUAACUGGAGGACCGAACCGACUAAUGUUGAAAAAUUAGCGGAUGACCUGUGGCUGGGGGUGAAAGGCCAAUCAAACCGGGAGAUAGCUGGUUCUCCCCGAAAGCUAUUUAGGUAGCGCCUCGUGAAUUCAUCUCCGGGGGUAGAGCACUGUUUCGGCUAGGGGGCCAUCCCGGCUUACCAACCCGAUGCAAACUGCGAAUACCGGAGAAUGUUAUCACGGGAGACACACGGCGGGUGCUAACGUCCGUCGUGAAGAGGGAAACAACCCAGACCGCCAGCUAAGGUCCCAAAGUCAUGGUUAAGUGGGAAACGAUGUGGGAAGGCCCAGACAGCCAGGAUGUUGGCUUAGAAGCAGCCAUCAUUUAAAGAAAGCGUAAUAGCUCACUGGUCGAGUCGGCCUGCGCGGAAGAUGUAACGGGGCUAAACCAUGCACCGAAGCUGCGGCAGCGAACGUAUCACCCAAGACAACUUUACGGAGUUGACGAUUGACGGAGCGAAGCGACGUCAAAGCGUUCAUUAAAGUCGAGUUGGCUUAGGGAUACGUUCGUUGGGUAGGGGAGCGUUCUGUAAGCCUGUGAAGGUGUGUCGUGAGGCAUGCUGGAGGUAUCAGAAGUGCGAAUGCUGACAUAAGUAACGAUAAAGCGGGUGAAAAGCCCGCUCGCCGGAAGACCAAGGGUUCCUGUCCAACGUUAAUCGGGGCAGGGUGAGUCGACCCCUAAGGCGAGGCCGAAAGGCGUAGUCGAUGGGAAACGGGUUAAUAUUCCCGUACUUGGUGUUACUGCGAAGGGGGGACGGAGAAGGCUAUGUUGGCCGGGCGACGGUUGUCCCGGUUUAAGCGUGUAGGUGUGUGUUCCAGGUAAAUCCGGUUCACUUUAACACUGAGGCGUGACGACGAGGCACUACGGUGCUGAAGCAACAAAUGCCCUGCUUCCAGGAAAAGCCUCUAAGCAUCAGGUAACAUCAAAUCGUACCCCAAACCGACACAGGUGGUCAGGUAGAGAAUACCAAGGCGCUUGAGAGAACUCGGGUGAAGGAACUAGGCAAAAUGGUGCCGUAACUUCGGGAGAAGGCACGCUGACACGUAGGUGAAGUGAUUUACUCAUGGAGCUGAAGUCAGUCGAAGAUACCAGCUGGCUGCAACUGUUUAUUAAAAACACAGCACUGUGCAAACACGAAAGUGGACGUAUACGGUGUGACGCCUGCCCGGUGCCGGAAGGUUAAUUGAUGGGGUCAGCGCAAGCGAAGCUCCUGAUCGAAGCCCCGGUAAACGGCGGCCGUAACUAUAACGGUCCUAAGGUAGCGAAAUUCCUUGUCGGGUAAGUUCCGACCUGCACGAAUGGCGUAAUGAUGGCCAGGCUGUCUCCACCCGAGACUCAGUGAAAUUGAACUCGCUGUGAAGAUGCAGUGUACCCGCGGCAAGACGGAAAGACCCCGUGAACCUUUACUAUAGCUUGACACUGAACAUUGAGCCUUGAUGUGUAGGAUAGGUGGGAGGCUUUGAAGUGUGGACGCCAGUCUGCAUGGAGCCGACCUUGAAAUACCACCCUUUAAUGUUUGAUGUUCUAACGUGGACCCGUAAUCCGGGUUGCGGACAGUGUCUGGUGGGUAGUUUGACUGGGGCGGUCUCCUCCUAAAGAGUAACGGAGGAGCACGAAGGUUGGCUAAUCCUGGUCGGACAUCAGGAGGUUAGUGCAAUGGCAUAAGCCAGCUUGACUGCGAGCGUGACGGCGCGAGCAGGUGCGAAAGCAGGUCAUAGUGAUCCGGUGGUUCUGAAUGGAAGGGCCAUCGCUCAACGGAUAAAAGGUACUCCGGGGAUAACAGGCUGAUACCGCCCAAGAGUUCAUAUCGACGGCGGUGUUUGGCACCUCGAUGUCGGCUCAUCACAUCCUGGGGCUGAAGUAGGUCCCAAGGGUAUGGCUGUUCGCCAUUUAAAGUGGUACGCGAGCUGGGUUUAGAACGUCGUGAGACAGUUCGGUCCCUAUCUGCCGUGGGCGCUGGAGAACUGAGGGGGGCUGCUCCUAGUACGAGAGGACCGGAGUGGACGCAUCACUGGUGUUCGGGUUGUCAUGCCAAUGGCACUGCCCGGUAGCUAAAUGCGGAAGAGAUAAGUGCUGAAAGCAUCUAAGCACGAAACUUGCCCCGA